AACGUAGGUGGCAAGCGUUAUCCGGAAUUAUUGGGCGUAAAGAGCUCGUAGGCGGUUUGUCGCGUCUGCUGUGAAAACCCGAGGCUCAACCUCGGGCCUGCAGUGGGUACGGGCAGACUAGGGUGCGGUAGGGGAGAUUGGAAUUCCUGGUGUAGCGGUGGAAUGCGCAGAUAUCAGGAGGAACACCGAUGGCGAAGGCAGAUCUCUGGGCCGUAACUGACGCUGAGGAGCGAAAGCAUGGGGAGCGAACAGG
rnacentral:rRNA from 1 species